rnacentral:rRNA from 1 species
AAGAGUUUGAUCCUGGCUCAGAACGAACGCUGGCGGCGUGCUUAACACAUGCAAGUCGAACGCGAAAGGGACUUCGGUCCCGAGUAGAGUGGCGCACGGGUGAGUAACGCGUAAGUAAUCUACCCCUGUAUCUGGAAUAACCCACCGAAAGGUGAGCUAAUACCGGAGUUUAUCUUGAUGCGAAUGAUGAUAAAGAAAGGUGGCCUCUUCUUGAAAGCUACUGUACAGGGACGAGCUUGCGUACCAUUAGCUAGUUGGUAGGGUAAUGGCCUACCAAGGCGACGAUGGUUAGCGGGUCUGAGAGGAUGAUCCGCCACACUGGAACUGGAACACGGACCAGACUCCUACGGGAGGCAGCAGUGAGGAAUAUUGCGCAAUGGGGGCAACCCUGACGCAGCGACGCCGCGUGGAUGAUGAAGGCCCUUGGGUCGUAAAAUCCUGUCAGUGGGGAAGAACCGCCGGGUGGUUAAUACCUGCCUGGUCUGACGGUACCCACAAAGGAAGCACCGGCUAACUCCGUGCCAGCAGCCGCGGUAAUACGGAGGGUGCAAGCGUUGUUCGGAAUUAUUGGGCGUAAAGCGCGUGUAGGCGGUUUGCUCAGUCAGAUGUGAAAGCCCUCGGCUUAACCGGGGACGUGCAUUUGAAACUGGAAGGCUUGAGUACGGGAGAGGAUAGUGGAAUUUCGAGUGUAGGGGUGAAAUCCGUAGAUAUUCGAAGGAACACCGGUGGCGAAGGCGGCUAUCUGGACCGAUACUGACGCUGAGACGCGAAAGCGUGGGGAGCAAACAGGAUUAGAUACCCUGGUAGUCCACGCCGUAAACGAUGGGUACUAGGUGUUGGGCGUCAAAACUCAGUGCUGAAGCUAACGCAUUAAGCACCCCGCCUGGGGAGUACGGUCGCAAGACUAAAACUCAAAGGAAUUGACGGGGGCCCGCACAAGCGGUGGAGCAUGUGGUUUAAUUCGACGCAACGCGAAGAACCUUACCUGGGCUUGACAUCCCUCUGAUCGACUCUUAGCCGAGUCUUCCCUUCGCUGGAUCGGAGACAGGUGCUGCAUGGUUGUCGUCAGCUCGUGUCGUGAGAUGUUGGGUUAAGUCCCGCAACGAGCGCAACCCUUGUGUUUAGUUGCCAACAGGUUAAGCUGUGCACUCUAAACAGACUGCCGUGGAUAACACGGAGGAAGGUGGGGAUGACGUCAAAUCAUCAUGCCCCUUAUGAUCUGGGCUACACACGUGCUACAAUGGUCGGUACAACGGGCAGCGAAAGAGCGAUCUGGAGCGAAUCCUAAAAAGCCGAUCCCAGUUCGGAUUGCAGGCUGAAACUCGCCUACAUGAAGUUGGAGUUGCUAGUAAUCGCGAAUCAGAAUGUCGCGGUGAAUGCGUUCCCGGGUCUUGUACACACCGCCCGUCACACCAUGGAAGUUGGGGGCGCCCGAAGCCAGUGGUCCAACCCGUAAGGGAGGAAGCUGUCGAAGGUGAAACCAAUGACUGGGGUGAAGUCGUAACAAGGUAACCA